AUUUUUAAAAUAGGUUUUAUUUAAACCGCGCAUCGCAUAAGUUCUAAACUAGUUAGUAAGGAGUGGUAUAUAGAAUUAUAGAUCUGACGGUUGACAUUAUGCGCGAGAUUAACCUUCCUGAUUUUCAUUUCUUUUUCACUUUGAUACUUUUCACUUCUACGCUGCACUCUUCUCAGAGUCUCUCUCUUUCCACCAUUGAAGCCUAAUCCGAAUUUUCCAUUGAAACGGCUUCCGAGCUUACUCUACUUCAUUAUAGUAGCAUCUGAGUGACAUUCCCAGGACCAUGUCUCGUCGAUCAGUGUGGAAAGGUUCUUUUGUUGAUGCAUUCUUGUUGAGACUGAAAGAGAACAAAGAGCAACUUGCAAACAAAAAAAUUUGGUCAAGGAGAUCUUCUAUCCUGCCAGAAUUUGUUGGUAGCGUUGUUCGAAUUUACAAUGGGAAGUCUUUCGUUCGCUGCAAGAUCACUGAAUCUAAAGUUGGACACAAAUUUGGAGAGUUUGCUUUCACGCGAAAAAGAAGGCCUCACAAAAUAGAUUCUGGAUCAAAGAAGAAGGGUGGCCGGUGAGUCAUUGCCGCCUCCCUCCAAUUGCUGUGCUAUCAUAAAGGGGCCUCUUACCUCCUGUUUUCUUGUUGUUGAACUAGCUUUUUUGCCAUUCACAGUAACAUUGUUUUUCUUUAGGGAUUUUAUGAAAACCUUUAUAAACCCCUCAUGGAACUCGAAAUAUUGACCCGUGCCUUGCCAAUUUUCUUCUUAAAGGGCCAUUUUAAAGUCAAGGAAUUCCCUAGUUUCAUUUACAGAGAUAAAGAGAUCAUACACUUGCAUUUUUACUUGUA